rnacentral:rRNA from 1 species
GAGUGAAAAAGAACCUGAAACCGUGUACGUACAAGCAGUGGGAGCACGCUUCGGCGUGUGACUGCGUACCUUUUGUAUAAUGGGUCAGCGACUUAUAUUCUGUAGCAAGGUUAACCGAAUAGGGGAGCCGAAGGGAAACCGAGUCUUAACUGGGCGUUAAGUUGCAGGGUAUAGACCCGAAACCCGGUGAUCUAGCCAUGGGCAGGUUGAAGGUUGGGUAACACUAACUGGAGGACCGAACCGACUAAUGUUGAAAAAUUAGCGGAUGACUUGUGGCUGGGGGUGAAAGGCCAAUCAAACCGGGAGAUAGCUGGUUCUCCCCGAAAGCUAUUUAGGUAGCGCCUCGUGAAUUCAUCUCCGGGGGUAGAGCACUGUUUCGGCAAGGGGGUCAUCCCGACUUACCAACCCGAUGCAAACUGCGAAUACCGGAGAAUGUUAUCACGGGAGACACACGGCGGGUGCUAACGUCCGUCGUGAAGAGGGAAACAACCCAGACCGCCAGCUAAGGUCCCAAAGUCAUGGUUAAGUGGGAAACGAUGUGGGAAGGCCCAGACAGCCAGGAUGUUGGCUUAGAAGCAGCCAUCAUUUAAAGAAAGCGUAAUAGCUCACUGGUCGAGUCGGCCUGCGCGGAAGAUGUAACGGGGCUAAACCAUGCACCGAAGCUGCGGCAGCGACACUAUGUGUUGUUGGGUAGGGGAGCGUUCUGUAAGCCUGUGAAGGUGUGCUGUGAGGCAUGCUGGAGGUAUCAGAAGUGCGAAUGCUGACAUAAGUAACGAUAAAGCGGGUGAAAAGCCCGCUCGCCGGAAGACCAAGGGUUCCUGUCCAACGUUAAUCGGGGCAGGGUGAGUCGACCCCUAAGGCGAGGCCGAAAGGCGUAGUCGAUGGGAAACAGGUUAAUAUUCCUGUACUUGGUGUUACUGCGAAGGGGGGACGGAGAAGGCUAUGUUGGCCGGGCGACGGUUGUCCCGGUUUAAGCGUGUAGGCUGGU